rnacentral:rRNA from 1 species
GACGAACGCUGGCGGCGUGCUUAACACAUGCAAGUCGAACGGUAAGGCCCUGUCGUGGGUACGCGCGUGGCGAACGAACGAGUAACACGUACGUGAUUUGCCCUGCCCUUUCUGAGAGGCAUCUUCAACUAGCUCUAAUACCUACUAGGACUACGCUCUGCAUGCCGGGUGGGGGAAAGCUUGUGCGGUGGGGGAUGGGCCCGCGGCCUAUCAGCUUGUUGGUGGGGUGGUGGCCUACCAAGGCGGGGACGGGUAGCCGGCCUGAGAGGGUGGCCGGCCACACUGGGACUGAGAUACGGCCCAGACUCCUACGGGAGGCAGCAGUGGGGAAUAUUGCACAAUGGGCGGAAGCCUGAUGCAGCGACGCCGCGUGGGGGAUGACGGCCUUCGGGUUGUAAACCGCUUUCAGCAGAGACGAAGCGUAAGUGACGGUAUGUGCAGAAGAAGCACCGGCCAACUACGUG